rnacentral:rRNA from 1 species
GACGAACGCUGGCGGCGUGCUUAACACAUGCAAGUCGAACGGAAAGGCCCUGCUUUUGUGGGGUGCUCGAGUGGCGAACGGGUGAGUAACACGUGAGUAACCUGCCCUUGACUUUGGGAUAACUUCAGGAAACUGGGGCUAAUACCGGAUAGGAGCUCCUGCUGCAUGGUGGGGGUUGGAAAGUUUCGGCGGUUGGGGAUGGACUCGCGGCUUAUCAGCUUGUUGGUGGGGUAGUGGCUUACCAAGGCUUUGACGGGUAGCCGGCCUGAGAGGGUGACCGGCCACAUUGGGACUGAGAUACGGCCCAGACUCCUACGGGAGGCAGAAGUGGGGAGUAUUGCACAGUGGGCGGGAGCCUGAUGCAGCAACGCCGCGUGCGGGAUGACGGCCUUCGGGUUGUAAACCGCUUUCGCCUGUGACGAAGCGUGAGUGACGGUAAUGGGUAAAGAAGCACCGGCUAACUACGUG